CACGUAGGGUGCGAGCGUUGUCCGGAAUUAUUAGGCGUAAAGAGCUCGUAGGCGGUGUGUCGCGUCGGCCGUGAAAACCUGCAGCUUAACUGUGGGCUUGCGGUCGAUACGGGCAUCACUGGAGUUCGGCAGGGGAGACUGGAAUUCCUGGUGUAGCGGUGAAAUGCGCAGAUAUCAGGAGGAACACCGGUGGCGAAGGCGGGUCUCUGGGCCGAUACUGACGCUGAGGAGCGAAAGCGUGGGGAGCGAACAGG
rnacentral:rRNA from 1 species